GCAUUAAUGGGGUAGUGGUAACCUGGGUCGUUGCCAAAUACGCUAUUGUGUUUGUCAGUUCGACCCGCCGGGGGUUCGAUUCCCCCUUAAUGCA